GAUGAACGCUGGCGGCGUGCCUAAUACAUGCAAGUCGAGCGAACAGACGAGGAGCUUGCUCCUCUGACGUUAGCGGCGGACGGGUGAGUAACACGUGGAUAACCUACCUAUAAGACUGGGAUAACUUCGGGAAACCGGAUCUAAUACCGGAUAAUAUAUUGAACCGCAUGGUUCAAUAGUGAAAUACGGUUUUGCUGUCACUUAUAGAUGUAUCCGCGCCGCAUUAGCUAGUUGGUAAGGUAACGGCUUACCAAGGCAACGAUGCGUAGACGCGCUGAGAGGGUGAUCGGCCACACUGGAACUGAGACAAGGUCCAGACUCCUAGGGGAGGCAGCAGUAGGGAAUCUUCAGCAAUGGGCGAAAGCCUUACGGAGCAACGCCGCGUGAGUGAUGAAGGUCUUCGGAUUGUAAAACUCUGUUAUUAGGGAAGAACAAAUGUGUAAGUAACUAUGCACGUCUUGACGGUACCUAAUCAGAAAGCCACGGCUAACUACGUG
rnacentral:rRNA from 1 species